GCUAUCGAGGUUCGACUAAGCCAUGCGAGUCGAAUGUAGCAAUACAUGGCGAACUGCUCAGUAACACGUGGACAACCUGCCCUUAGGUUGGGUAUAAACCCGGGAAACUGGGUAUAAUACCCGAUAGGUCUCGAUUGCUGGAAUGCAUCGAGAUUUAAAGCUCCGGCGCCUAAGGAUGGGUCUGCGGCCUAUCAGGUAGUAGUGGGUGUAGCGUACCUACUAGCCUACGACGGGUACGGGUUGUGAGAGCAAGAGCCCGGAGAUGGAUUCUGAGACACGAAUCCAGGCCCUACGGGGUGCAGCAGGCGCGAAAACUUUACAAUGCUGGCAACAGCGAUAAGGGAACCUCGAGUGCCAGGUUACAAAUCUGGCUGUCGAGAUGCCUAAAAAGCAUUUCAUAGCAAGGGCCGGGCAAGACCGGUGCCAGCCGCCGCGGUAACACCGGCGGCUCGAGUGGUAACCGUUAUUAUUGGGUCUAAAGGGUCUGUAGCCGGCCGGAUAAGUCUCUUGAGAAAUCUGGCAGCUUAACUGUCAGGCUUUCAGGAGAUACUGUCAGGCUCGAGGCCGGGAGAGGUGAGAGGUACUUCAGGGGUAGGGGUGAAAUCUUGUAAUCCUUGAAGGACCACCAGUGGCGAAGGCGUCUCACCAGAACGGACCUGACGGCAAGGGACGAAAGCUAGGGGCACGAACCGGAUU
rnacentral:rRNA from 1 species